CCCCACUUCCAGGAGCCCGCUGCCAGCUGGAGGCUGAAACCCCAGCGAGGGGCCAGGCUGCUGUGCGGCCACCCAGAGCCCUCCAACUCACCAUGUCUGCGGCAGCAACCGAGAGAGGACGGAACAGGAUGAGGUGGACCUGCACCAGGCAGAGUGGGACCAAGCCUCUGGUGUUGCUGUAUAAGCAGAAGUGAGCUGGCUGAGAACUGGAGACCGCCGCUGCGAGGGGAAGGACACAGCCUUGAACGCAGGGGCGACGCUUUACAUUGCAGAGGACAUGGGUACAAGUGACACAGGGGAAUGAGGAUUGCAAUCAGUUCUGCAGCUCUCCUGGGAGCUGGACAAUCCCGGCAAUAAACCUGUUUUGCCUUGCUGGUAUCUUCCAAGGCCAGCUCCUGGGCAGGCAUUGGCAUGCUGCGGGGCACGUGGUCCUCACAGGGAUCCUGCAGGCUCCUCCGGCGUUGCGAGGCUGAGUGGGGUGCUCCCCUGCCACUUGGGAAGAGCCCCUCGCCGUGCACGCUGCUCUUGUUUUUGGCAGAGGCACUAUCCCUGUGUUGUACAGCCCUCUCCUUUUGCAAUGUUCCCUGCAAACCGCAGAGGAACCAACUCACCCUGACGCAGCCUGUCUGGAGCAGCUGCCGCUGGCGAUACCGCAGGCACCUUCCUGGGCACCUCCUGCAGCCCCCGGGGCAUGGAGACAUGGGGUACCCCCAAAGGAUGCAGCCCUGCUCCCACCGCCCCCCCUCUCCCCCCAUGCCACCCCAUUUCCAGGCCCUGCACUGAGCCAGGAUGCUUUGAAGGCACCUCCUGGGCAUGGACUGGGGAUGGGUCCCCCUCCACAGUGCCACCAACGGGGGCUUUUUGUCCCCAAAGUGGUCCCGAGCUGGGAGGCGCCUCCGAGUGCAUCUCGCCUCGGUGCCCCUGCAGUGUGGCACACAGCACAGUCUUUCUCAGAAUCUGGAAGUGAUAACAGUCUGGCCGCAGGAAGACGUGUUUACUCAAAUAUCACCGCAACCAGGGCAUGGUGAGAUGGUGGCACUGAUUUGCUGAGCCAGGAUGGGGAUGCUCCCAAACAUCCCAGGCACGCCCCUGGUGGAACAACCCUGCCUGCAAGAUCUGGCUCUGCAGCCAUGCGGCUCUGCAAAGAGCCAUGCAGACAAGCGGAUGAACGCACUCAGCCGUGAGAGCCCUGCCUCGGGUCGGUCCCAUCGCCACGGAGCAAACAAUGUCCCAUCCUCCUGCCAG